GUUCUAAAUAGUAAUAGAAAAAAUUGAAGAUAUAUACAAAGUGUCCAAUAUUCAGAUGCCUAUGCAACAAUAUUUGAAUGCUUUGGAUCUUUCUGGGACAACCAAGGAGAAAACAAGUUUAUAUUAAGCAUGGAUCAGUGCCAUUCAUAUACUAAUGAAUGACAUUGCCUGUGAAGCAUCUCAUGGAACUGAAAAUUGUCCAGGGGAUAGAGAAAACCAGUGUAUUCAGAUGGAGGUGGGAGAGGUUGCUCUUGGAUGCAAAACAGUGGAAAACGAUUUGUCCAGAAGCAGCAAUGGAAGAUGUGGGCUGAUGGCACAGUAGUUCAGUAGCUUUGCUGACCAUUUUGCAAAUGCUUUUGCUUAGUCAGGUCAAAGUGUUUAGAUUAUAGGGAAACACUGCAGUUGUCAAGAGGCAGAGAACUGCUAUAGCUAGCUAAAUUAUUUUGCUAAACUAUUUCCUAUUUUCAAGUUUUUUAAUUAAAGAUUAUUUGGGGUAUCUUCAUUCUUCACUGCAGAAAACACCAGGGACAAACUCUUGAUUAAUCAAGUCUAGAAUUAUUUUGAUGAUUGUAAGGCAUGCAUGAGCAUUAAACACUUUGUCAGUGAAGUCUUUCCUAAACCUCUUCUAUGACAAGAUUGGAUUUUGAAUUGAAAUCAUUUUUGAAUGAUUUGGUUAUACUUUUUUCUUUAUGUAAGUGUGUGUGUUAGCCUCUAAUGAAGUGUGAAAUCUUGCUGACUGUAUAAGAAAGUCAUGAGGAAUCCAUCAUGUGUAAUAAAGACAGGGCUUCUGGCUGCAAGAAUAAAUCAGUACAACAGCAAGAUAGAAGGGAGACACAGAUGUGAUUUGGUAUGGAGUCGGGGUGGCUGCAGGGGACUCUAAGAUAUUUAGGUCAUAAGAAGAGAAAGGAUUUUUGCUGUAGGUAAACAGGAACUUAAUCUUGUCCCAGCUAAUGAUAGAGUUGCUUUGAUGCACAGGCAAUGUUUAUAUGGAGAAAUUAUACAUUGCAGUUCUUACCUACUCAUGUAUACCCCUACAAGUUUUGUUAGUUAGUUUGUAAACAACUGAAUGGUCCCAUUGUAGUUGCCACCAUGGGAAAGCACAUGUGUGAGUUAAUUAGAACAAGCUUGGUAAGCCUCAGCUCCUGCUGCUGCUGUGAUCCAAACAGCAAAAAUAUGGUUGUUGGUAGCAUUAAUGAGUAAAUAUUUUAUGUGAAUUUAAUGAGAUCCUCAUUUUUUCUUGUUCAAUUUACUUUUUUUUUCCUCUUUCAUUUUUUUCCUACAGGAAUCAUCCAUGAUCCCCCAGCAGUUUUAACAAGUAUCAUAGAAAAAACCACAAGAUUCUGUUAAACGAAUGUCUGUGCAAAAGAAACUAUAGGGAGCCCAGCAACACAUCAGCCAGCAACCAUCAGAUCGCUACUGCCAUCAGUUAAAUUCUCACUCCCUCACACUUCAAAACUUUUGAUUUAAUCUUUUCCUUACAUGUUUAAUAUUAUGUCACCCUAAACUUAAUUUUAUUAUCUUUUAAAACCUCUAAGAAUGAAAGAGCAAUUUUAAAAGGAACUUCAAACACAAAAUAAUAUCCAAAACAGUGUCAAUUUUUAAGACUGUUACUCUCAAAUAAAAGCUGAAACAUUCAGAAACCGAAGUGUUAACUGGCUAACAUCACAUAGUUGAAAAGGAAACCUUUGGAAGAGAGGCAAGAAAGCAAUGUGGAUGAGCUCUUGGAGGAAUGGGAGAUGCAGUGGCAAAGUCUACAGAGUCCAGAAUUACACAGCUGUUUCAUUCAAGCUGGGUAUGCAGAGAUCAAAGGAUCUCUGUGCCAUUAAAUGGGAUCUCUCAAGAAAGGGAAGGAGACCACGCGGACGGAGCAAUGCAAGUAGGAAUAAGAGUCUGCUGUUCUUGCUGACAGGGACCGAUGUGAGACAUGGAGAGAGGUUCCAGGUGGGGCAAUGUGAAGAAGCUGGAGCUUCUGGGGAAUAGUGAACCACAGAGGAUGAUAGACGGCAGAGGGGUUUUGUACUACUUUAAAGUUCUAUUUCUUGUGGAUGCUUCUCAACAGGUAAGGACGGUAAGGAAUUAAAGCAGCAGAGAGACAUUAUGGUGGUGUGGGUAGCAUACCCGUCUGUGCAUAUUUGCAGCUACACCCUCACAGGGGAAGCAGAUAAAGGAAAGGACCACAAACAGGCCUCGUGACAGCAUGUGUUGUAGAAGGAAAGAGUCCAGGAAGAUACUUGUCAGACAUGAAAUAAAAGCCAUCAGAAGAAACCUGAUAUGGACCCUGCGUCAUUCAGAGUGCAGGAUGAACAGUGCUUGGAAUGAAUCGGCACAAUGAAGUGAAAGAAGCUGUUGUUUGCAGGACUCAUGGCAGUUGUUGAGGAAGUUGGCGUAUGUGUUUUGAAUGAGUUGGGAUGUCAAGAAAAGAAAGGAUGAUCCUGUAGCUGAGGCAACUCUGUUUCUCUGGAGAAUGAGUUUCUGUCACUGCCUUUGCCAAAAAGAUUCUAUGAGGUACUGUUUUGGGGAGAGAAAGGACAAAACUUUUCUCAGGUAUCCACUAACUGUGAACAUGUCAUUUUCCUAGAAAUCUGGGAGCCUGGAUCCGUUUUCUGUAUGCCCCAAUAUCAAACAAAAUGUUGAGUUCAGUGAGCAGUGUGCUUCAUUCUUACACUUGGAUGAAUAUUUAUACUAUCAUAAUUAAAAACUGUCUUACAAGAGAGUUGAAAAAAUGUUUUGUGCUUUCAGUUCUACGUAUUCUGAACUCCCAGAAUAGCUAUUUGAUGCAACUGUGUUAAGAGAGUUAUCUGUUUACAGAGCUAGCAUUUAGUUAAUUGUUAAAUAAAAAACUUGAAGUAGUGACAAACAAUAAUCAAUUUUAUUAGAUAAGAAUACUGAGUGCCAGUACAAACUACCUAACUAAUUGAAGGUUUCCUAAUUUGUGAUGAUAGUCUGUAUUUAUCUUUGAUGCUCAGCUGUAUAUCCUGCUAUAGUAGUUGCAAAAUGUUUAUGAAAGAUGUAUUUUCCUUUACGAUGUUUUGAAAUCAACUAGUUUAUUUUCAGCAGUAAGCAACUAUUUCAAAAUCAGGGCCUCAAAGAAACUGGUGUAUCAGCUUUCACAUAUUCAACUUGGAUCUAAUCUGCUUUCCUUGUAUCUUAGUGUAGUUGCUCUUUCCUUCUAAAACUUAUUUUUAGGCAUCAAUUUAGCUACAGUGAUGCGGCCAGAAUUAAUCUUCCCUUAUUCUAGAAUGAAGUAGAAAUAAUCCAGUUGGCCUCUGCUCCUGUGUAAGUGGGUUUUACUUCAUAGGGGACUAAUCAAUGAAGAGUAAGUUCCAAACUGUACUCAGAAUUUGGGUUGCAAGCGGCAGUCAGCUCAGAGACAAUAUUGCUACAAUGUGAAUUUUUCUCUGAAUGAUAGUAUCAUGCAACCAAAUAAAACAUUUUUUCUUCUCUCGGACAUCUUCAAACUCUGUCAUCUUCUUCAGUAAUGCAAACGGAGAGAUUCUCAGUUCCUCAGACAUUAACUUUCAGUCCUCAUGCUUUAGAGUAACUAAACUGAACAUUGUUGUCAUUUUACAGUUAAGAGAAUAAUGUAAGAUUCCUAAGAUUUUACUCUCACUUCUCAGUUGUUGAUCACUUAGCAAAUAUUCCCUUAUUCUACUCAGCUAUGACAUAGUGAAAUGCAACAGCAGUACAUUAGUAGUCUAAAAAUGCAUUUUUGUACGUGAAAAUCUGACUUCAUUCUGCAUUUUAGGUGUUUGUUUGAGGGAUUUAGACAUUAAGAAAUCCUAUUCAGUGAGCAGUUUGGAUUUGUUUUUAUUACAGCAGAACAGUAAAGUGAGCAUUAAUGAAAAGGGAGAACACCGACAUGAUUCUGCAUGGAGGUUUGUUUUUUUUUUUUGAGUCAUAAAAGGUUAUCUUGCUUCUUAAGUAGCUAUUCAUCUAGAAUGUAGGUAAAAUCAUAAGUUCAUAUUGGAUGUUUUUAUUUGAGAUUUUAUUCACAGCAAUAAACUCUAGACCAGGAUAAUAAAACGUGAGCUUUAUGAGAAUAUUCUUGAUUGAUGAGGGUCUGUAUGUGGCUGUGAUUGUGGAAGCACGUGUACUCAGUGCAGAUGGGAAGAGGAAUGUUUCAGCUGUGCAAGUACCCUGAGCUGUGGAGGAGUAAAUCGAGCUGAGACAGUGAGGCUCCCAGCCAGGGGUGCUCUCAUAAAAGCACAGCCAUACUUGGUGCCAUGCUGUUUGAUGUAGCUUAAAUCACAGCCUCCUCCAAAGAAAGGAUAUUAGGUGUAGAGAAUAGAGAAUGACUUUAGGAAGGCCAGUUAAGUCAUGUAGCUUAUUCUAGCUUAUGCCUGACAUUGCAAGCUACUAUUAACCUUGCAAUAAUUUACUGAAUCUUAGUUUAGAAUCAAAUUAUAGUCUGAAAAAAAUUGAUAAUUUAGGGCUUGUCUAUCUCAUAUCCAGUUUCGGUCAUUUAAUAAGAAUAAUAACUAAGGGUAGUUUUAAGUUGUCAGAGCUGUCUACUUCCUUAAACUAUAAUUUUGACAGACAGAGAGGUGCUACUUUUCCAAUUUCCUGUACCAACCAUAACAAUGUGAUCCAAUUCAGGUGAAGGAUAGUAUAUCUAUAUUUGUCCUGACAAUAGAAAUGUGUUCAAAUAAAUGAAUGUAAAAAUAGUACUUUUUUUUCUUUGGCCCAGUGUUAUGCAGAGACGUACAAAAGCAGAGACUGUGACAGGUGAGGUGACAUCACAUUCCCCUUAACAGUAAUGUUAGUAGCAAGGCCACAGAUACAGAAAGCACUGGGCAAUUAAUUGCCUUCUUUUUUAAUGAUAAUAUCUUUGUAUGAGAAGGGCUAUAAAUACUCCUUUUGUUUAUUUUGCAACCCAAGGGCAAAUCUAUGAUAGAGACAAGAUUCUGCAGCCACAGAGUUAUAGAAGACUCAGCAUUCUACUGUGCUGCUAAUAAGAGCUUCCAAGUACUUUUGAGAUGACCUAAAAAUAAAUCAGAGCAGCUCUUAUGUUUUAUAGACAGUUUUACUAAAGGCAUGGUGGGAGGGAGAGGGAGAAGAGAAAAAUGCAUAUGUAAACAAAUCUUCAGAAGGAACAUUUUCUAAAGAAGGUAUAUCAUGUAACUACGUGGGUAAAACUUGCAUUAAGUAAAUGCCCAGUGUGAAAUCCAUAUCUAAAUUAGAAUCAAUUAGCUUGAAAAUGUUGAUUGCAAGCCAGUCAACAUUGAGAAGUCUCUGAUGGUUGCCAUUUGUAGUAAAGAAGAAUGAUUCUGGUCUAAAUACAACCUGAGGCUACUACUGAAAAAAACUUCACUCAUCUGCUCCUCUGUUUCACUUGAAAAUAGACCAAUGAAAACUGCCUGCAGUCAAUGGAUGUAAGUAGCACUCGAUUUUAUCAAUAAACAGUGGCAUAGCAUGAGGGACAAAUGUCAGCUCAAACCUGUAAUGCCAAUGAAAGAUGGAGAUACUGGGACCUCCCGGGGACACAGACACCAGCACACACUUGCCAAGCAGUCAGGUAUCAUGCCCUCUUUUGAACUCCUGUUGAAAAUUAGAUGAGAUUUCUUUCUUCAUUAUUUCUUCUGCGUAAUUCCUCCUAAUUUUACUUCCAUUCCUGAAGAAUUUGUAGCUGUUUUUGUCUUCUUCCAAUGUUAUUUUUGUUAAAUAAUUAAUUUGUUACCCACUAGUUUUAUAAGAGGCUAAUAUAGCUUUUUACUUAAUUUUGAAAUGCUCAAUACCCUCCUGAAAAAGAGGCUAUUUGAUCAGAAGAACAGAGAAGAUUAUAUGCAGCAUUUCUAAUAAUGUUCAUGUGUACAUGAACUUCUACGAUGUCAUCAUUCAUUCACUUUACUGGAAAUGCCUCGUGCAUGUUUGGACUGCAUUCCUCUUUCAAGGGUAUAGGAAACUAAUAAUCAUUUUGACUGUUUAAUCCAUUAUCACUCUUCAAUCACUUUUUGUAACUGAGAUCCCAGGAAGAAUUCUUAUUAUCCUUUAUUUAUGACCUUGCAGUCCAUACAAUUGAUUUUCCCCCAUUACCAUUACUUUGCCUCCCAAGGUCAUUCACUACUUCUAGUACAACAUAAAGGUUCCUCUCUGUAUGAAUAAUUCAUCUCAGUAACAUACCGAGAGACCUCAGUGGCGUAUUUUGUGUUUUGUACAUAAAGUUUGUGAAUGGAAGCAUUAAAUUAGGAUUGUCUGAAGAUGGCUUUUUGAGAACUCCACCUAGAAACUUACAAGAGCUUCUGGUCCAGUGCUGCUGUUUCAGUGUGUGCAAAGAAGGUAAAUUCACAGUACGAUUGGCAGCACUGAAUUGCACUUUCCAUUUAACAUUUCAGAAAUAUUUGUGAAUGUUAAAUAACCUUGUUUUUACUUCAGCAAGGUUGGUUACUUAUCUGUAAAAUAACUGGAUCGGAAUAAAAUGUUUUUAAAACCUAAAACAAUGAAUAGAAAACAAUGUAGCCUUUUUCUUUGCAUCCACAAUAGUUGCACUCAGACAAUAUAUUGUUAAUUCUCUUUGUCUGAGAUGGGCAGUACAAGGCAAACUGACAGUGAAAAGUUAUCUUCCCUUUGGAAAGCUAUAAACCUGAGCUGCUUCUUUCUUUGAGAAGAAAAAUAAUACCGUUCUGUAUAACAAUAUAAAGCAAUGCUGACACCUACAGAGAAUGUAUGUAAAUAUCAACUUUAGAAUUGGCAUUUUCUGUGAUAAUUUCCAGAAAUACUUGGUAAAAGAACAAAUGGUUUAAAGGAACUUAAAGAAAAUAGAUCUUUAUCUUCUACCUGUAUCAGUCCUUGGU